rnacentral:rRNA from 1 species
GACGAACGCUGGCGGCGUGCUUAACACAUGCAAGUCGAGCGGGGGGCCCUUCGGGGCCUUCAGCGGCGAACGGGUGAGUAACACGUGGGCAACCUGCCCCGAGCUCCGGAAUAACCUCGGGAAACCGGGGCUAAUGCCGGGUACGACCCCUCCGGGCAUCCGGGGGGGUGGAAAGAUUCAUCGGCUCGGGAUGGGCCCGCGGCCUAUCAGCUUGUUGGGGGGGUGACGGCCCACCAAGGCGACGACGGGUAGCCGGCCUGAGAGGGCGACCGGCCAAACUGGGACUGAGACACGGCCCAGACUCCUACGGGAGGCAGCAGUGGGGAAUAUUGCGCAAUGGGCGGAAGCCUGACGCAGCGACGCCGCGUGGGGGAUGACGGCCUUCGGGUUGUAAACCUCUUUCAGCAGGGACGAAGCGCAAGUGACGGUACCGGGAGAAGAAGCACCGGCUAACUCUGUGCCAGCAGCCGCCGUAAAAC